rnacentral:ncRNA from 1 species
CAAAGGCUUGGUCCUGACUUUACUGUCGGCUCUAGCUAGACUUACACAUGCAAGUAUCCGCACCCCUGUGAGAAUGCCCUCCAGUCUCCCGCCCGGAGGCAAGGAGCCGGUAUCAGGCACGGUUAACACCAGCCCAUGACACCUUGCUUAGCCACACCCUCAAGGGACACCAGCAGUGAUAAAUAUUAAGCCAUAAGUGAAAACUUGACUUAGUUAAAGCUUAGAGGGCCGGUAAAACUCGUGCCAGCCACCGCGGUUAUACGAGAGGCCCAAGUUGACAGACUACGGCGUAAAGAGUGGUUAGGGGAACCUUUAAGACUAAAGCCGAACGUCCUCAAAGCUGUUUAACGCUUCCGAGUUAAGAAGAUCCAUUACGAAAGUAGCUUUACCCAACCUGACCCCACGAAAGCUGUGAAACAAACUGGGAUUAGAUACCCCACUAUGCUCAGCCCUAAAAUUUGAUAGGCCAACUACGCCCCCUAUCCGCCCGGGUACUACGAGCAUCAGCUUAAAACCCAAAGGACUUGGCGGUGCUUCACAUCCGUCUAGAGGAGCCUGUUCUAGAACCGAUACCCCCCGUUAAACCUCACCCUCCCUUGUUAAUACCGCCUAUAUACCGCCGUCGUCAGCCUACCCUGUGAAGGACUAGAAGUGAGCAAGAUUGGUAAGACCCAAAACGUCAGGUCGAGGUGUAGUGUAUGAGAGGGGAAGAAAUGGGCUACAUUUCCUAAAUCAGGAAAUACGAAUAAUGAAUUGAAACGAGCAUUAGAAGGUGGAUUUAGCAGUAAGCAGUGAAACAGAGUGUUCUGCUGAAAUUUGGCAAUAAAGCACGCACAUAUCGCCCGU